CCANUNUUGANNCCCNACCAACGGCGUCNUGAAGCGGCAAAAGCUCAAAUUUGAAAUCCUGCGGGAAUUGUAAUUUGAAGGUUUCGUGGUCUGAGUCGGCCGCGCCCAAGUCCAUUGGAACAUGGCGCCUGGGAGGGUGAGAGCCCCGUAUGGCGCACGCCGACUCUUUGUACCCCGCGUCCGACGAGUCGAGUUGUUUGGGAAUGCAGCUCUAAGUGGGUGGUAAAUUCCAUCUAAAGCUAAAUAUUGGCGAGAGACCGAUAGCGAACAAGUACAGUGAUGGAAAGAUGAAAAGCACUUUGAAAAGAGAGUGAAACAGCACGUGAAAUUGUUGAAAGGGAAGGGCUUGCAAGCAGACACGGUUUUACCGGGCCAGCGUCGAAAAGGGGGGAGGAACAAGAACUCGAGAAUGUGGCGCGCACCUUCGGGCGCGCGUGUUAUAGCUCGUGUUGACGCCUCCAUCCCUUUUCGAGGCCUGCGAUUCUAGGACGCUGGCGUAAUGGUUGCAAGCCGCCCGUCUUGGAAACACGGACC
rnacentral:rRNA from 1 species